UACGGAAGGGAGCAGUGGGGAAUAUUGCACAAUGGGCGCAAGCCUGAUGCAGCCAUGCCGCGUGUAUGAAGAAGGCCUUCGGGUUGUAAAGUACUUUCAGUCGUGAGGAAGGUGUUAAGGUUAAUAACCUUAGCAAUUGACGUUAGCGACAGAAGAAGCACCGGCUAACUCCGUGCCAGCAGCCGCGGUAAUACGGAGGGUGCGAGCGUUAAUCGGAAUUACUGGGCGUAAAGGGCACGCAGGCGGUUAAUUAAGUUGGAUGUGAAAUCCCCGGGCUUAACCUGGGAAUGGCAUUCAAGACUGGUUAGCUAGAGUCUUGUAGAGGGGGUAGAAUUCCAUGUGUAGCGGUGAAAUGCGUAGAGAUGUGGAGGAAUACCGGUGGCGAAGGCGGCCCCUGGACAAAGACUGACGCUCAUGUGCGAAAGCGUGGGGAGCAAACAGGGAUUAGAUACC
rnacentral:rRNA from 1 species